UAAGAGCAACCAUGUCGCAGCGAGAAAGAAAGCACACAUUUGGAAAUUUAUAUUCAUUAAAUAAAAGUUAAAAAAUAAAAAAUAAAAAAAAUUGAAAAAAAAAGAGAGAAAGCACACAGACUUGGAGUUUGACGUGGCUCUGACACAGGUCAGCUCUGUGGCUCCUGGAAGUACACACUGAAGACCCCACAGACAGUGGCACUGUCAUUGCGUGAUCCACGGUACUCAAAGUGCACGCAGUAACUGCAGGAAUCAAGAAAUCUGGCACCUCGUGCACCAAGCUCAUUUGUGUGUUUUCAAGCAAUUUACACUUGGCCUCUCGUGUUCUGUUCUCGCCUGCAUUGCCCCUGGCACCAGCGUGGGACUGCCUGCAGUGGUGCACCCUCCUGUAGCCAGCCAGGUCAGCUGACAUGGGUCAGCCGUGGUCCCCAAGGAGGUGCAGCCAGAGGCACACUUGGCCGCUCACAGGCACUUGAGUCCAGAGGGAGGAAGCCAGGGUGGCGGAGGGUGGUGGCCGAGCCAGGCUCUGAGGUUCCAGCUGUCUGAUAGCAUUUGCACCCAGUGAGAGCACCAAGACACAGUGCCAGUGAAGGAGGCCCUGGUGCCGCCAUGCAGCGUGAGGAGAGGGGUCUACAGGGCUCUGGGGUUUGCCCAGCAGCCCUCUUCCCCCACAUGUGCCAUAGAGAGAUGACAGCAACACUAACACUGUCCACUGCGGUGCCUGGCAUCCAGUAAGUUAUUAGGAACUGUUGAUAAACUAAUCCAAAGCUUUAAUAAGUGAGAUGAAAAUGAUCUUAGGCCGGUUUAAGCUCACCAGUCAUGGGGCAUUGACCAUGCAUCAGCACAACGCUAAGUUGUUCUCGCUCGCUCAGCCCUGUGAAUAGUUAUCGUACCCGCUGUGCAAACAAGACAACGACAGAUCUCAGACGGGAAGGGAACGGCCCAGGUCAGUGACGUUUCCAAGGCAGGUCUGGGCUGCUGCACAGAUCCGCUGCACGCAGAACCCCUGCUCUGCUCUGCUACUGUCCAGCACCCCCAGGACACCCAACAAGCACCAGGAGGAGGCAGCAGCCACGGGUGCUGUUGGCGCUCAGGUGCAGGGACUGCG
rnacentral:lncRNA from 1 species